rnacentral:rRNA from 1 species
UACAGAGGUCUCAAGCGUUGUGCGGAUUCAUGGGGCGUAAAGGGUGUGUAGGUGGCGCGCUAAGUCGGGUGUGAAAUUUCGGAGCUUAACUCUGAAACUGCAUUCGAUACUGGCGUGCUUGAGGACUGGAGAGGAGACUGGAAUUCAUGGUGUAGCAGUGAAAUGCGUAGAGAUCAUGAGGAAGACCAGUGGCGAAGGCGGGUCUCUGGACAGUUCCUGACACUGAGACACGAAGGCCAGGGGAGCAAACGGG